rnacentral:rRNA from 1 species
UACGUAGGGGGCAAGCGUUGUCCGGAAUUAUUGGGCGUAAAGAGCGCGUAGGCGGUCCGAUAAGUCGGCUGUGAAAGUCAGGGGCUCAACCCUUGAAAGCCGGCCGAUACUGUCGGACUAGAGUCCGGAAGAGGCGAGUGGAAUUCCUGGUGUAGCGGUGAAAUGCGCAGAUAUCAGGAGGAACACCAAUUGCGAAGGCAGCUCGCUGGGACGUUACUGACGCUGAUGCGCGAAAGCCAGGGGAGCGAACGGG